AAGUCGUAACAAGGUUUCCGUAGGUGAACCUGCGGAAGGAUCAUUAACACGGUUAGAUUUUCCAUUUGGAUUGUCAGUCUAUUUUUUCUUUAAUCGCCGCGCACCUUGUUAAAAAACGGACUUUGUUCGAACCAGGAAAUUGAGAGCAAGCUGCUUGAUUGAUGGGUGGCCUCUCGGUUGACAAACGACUUGGUUUUUGAAUCUCACGGUCCGUCAUCAAUCACUUUGGAGCUUUCUUUUUGAUAAACACCUUUUCGUACUACUACCAGUCUGAAUCGUUUGAUCUCUCUGCCUCUUUUUCUUUUUUCUUUCUGAGAAGAGAGAGAGAGAGAGCGUUGGGAAAGAACAAAAAACAAAACUUUGAACAACUCUUAGCAACGGAUAUCUCGGUUCUC
rnacentral:misc_RNA from 1 species